AUUGAACGCUGGCGGCAGGCUUAACACAUGCAAGUCGAGCGGGGAAGGGUAGCUUGCUACCUAACCUAGCGGCGGACGGGUGAGUAAUGCUUAGGAAUCUGCCAUUUAGUGGGGGACAACAUUCCGAAAGGAAUGCUAAUACCGCAUACGUCCUACGGGAGAAAGCAGGGGAUCUUCGGACCUUGCGCUAAAUGAUGAGCCUAAGUCGGAUUAGCUAGUUGGUGGGGUAAAGGCCUACCAAGGCGACGAUCUGUAGCGGGUCUGAGAGGCUGAUCCGCCACACUGGGACUGAGACACGGCCCAGACUCCUACGGGAGGCAGCAGUGGGGAAUAUUGGACAAUGGGCGAAAGCCUGAUCCAGCCAUGCCGCGUGUGUGAAGAAGGCCUUUUGGUUGUAAAGCACUUUAAGCGAGGAGGAGGCUACUAGUACUAAUACUACUGGAUAGUGGACGUUACUCGCAGAAUAAGCACCGGCUAACUCUGUGCCAGCCGCCGCAGUAA
rnacentral:rRNA from 1 species